rnacentral:misc_RNA from 1 species
GAAAUGCGAUACGUAAUGUGAAUUGCAGAAUUCAGUGAAUCAUCAAAAUCUUGAACGCACCUUGCGCCUUGAGGUCACUCAAGGCAUGCCUGUUUCAGGGUCAGUUUAUUAAACUCCGCAAAAAUACUUGUGGGAUGUGGCAGUCGCAGGACUAGUGCCUCCGUCUGCUGAAAGAGAUGAGCUCACCAGCAUACCGAGCAGUUAACUGCGCACGGCUGGGCAUCGAUGAGUUUUGAACGCGGCAUAGCCCGUACAUAUCUCAUCAACCCAGUUGCUAGCGGUAAACCUCUUGUUGGUAGGCGGUCGACCAAGUGCUACCAGCUAGCACCGACACUUCCAUAUUUCACCUUUGACCUGAAAUCAGGUAAGGCAACCCGCUGAAUUUAA